rnacentral:rRNA from 1 species
UUCUGUGGCCAUACCAGCCUGAAUACUCCAGAUCGCAUCUGAUCUCAGAAGCCAAGUAGGGUCAGGCCUGGUCAGGACUUGGAUGGAAGACAGAGGAGCCAAGAAU